CCUACGGGAGGCAGCAGUAGGGAAUAUUGCUCAAUGGGGGAAACCCUGAAGCAGCAACGCCGCGUGGAGGAUGCAGGUUUUCGGAUUGUAAACUCCUUUUGUUAGAGAAGAUAAUGACGGUAUCUAACGAAUAAGCACCGGCUAACUCCGUGCCAGCAGCCGCGGUAAUACGGAGGGUGCAAGCGUUACUCGGAAUCACUGGGCGGAAAGAGCGCGUAGGCGGGAUAGCAAGUCAGAUGUGAAAUCCUAUGGCUUAACCAUAGAACUGCAUUUGAAACUGUUAUUCUAGAGUAUGGGAGAGGUAGGUGGAAUUCUUGGUGGAGGGGUAAAAUCCGUAGAGAUCAAGAGGAAUACUCAUUGCGAAGGCGACCUGCUAGAACAUAACUGACGCUGAUGCGCGAAAGCGUGGGGAGCAAACAGGAUUAGAUACCCGGGUAGUC
rnacentral:rRNA from 1 species